AUUGAACGCUGGCGGCAGGCCUAACACAUGCAAGUCGAGCGAGCGGCGGACGGGUGAGUAAUGUAUGGGGACUGCCCGAUAGAGGGGGAUAACUACUGGAAACGGUAGCUAAUCCCGCAUACUAUCGGAUAACCCAUAUGGGAUUAGCUAGUAGGUGAGGUAAUGGCUCACGAAGGCGACGAUCCCUAGCUGGUCUGAGAGGAUGAUCAGCAACACUGGAACUGAGACACGGCCCAGACUCCUACGGAGGCAGCAGUGGGGAAUAUUGAACAAUGGGGGAAAGCCUGAUGCAGCCAUGCCGCGUGUGUGAAGAAGGCCCUAGGGUUGUAAAGUACUUUCAGUCGGGAGGCGUUACCGACAGAAGAAGCACCGGCUAACUCCGUGCCAGCAGCCGCGGUAAUAC
rnacentral:rRNA from 1 species